UGGGGCGUUUUGGUUUACCGGUACUUUGCUCUUUAAUCGAGUCGCGCGAGCUCGAUCACGUAUUCACGUGAGAGACCUGAUCCCGCUCGAGUUUAGGCUCCGCGCCUGGAACUUAUUUCGGUGCUGUUCGGAAGUGGAAGGGCCGAGACGUCCGAUAAGGUGGCGGCGAAGCGAUAGGCAUCAAAACAUGGCGACUGGAUGCCGACUUUCGUUCCUUCGAUCCCGCUAACGGCUAUUUACAAGAAAGAAUCGAUCAAGAAAUGGCCUGCGGGACGGCGUCGUCGUCUUGAAAACGAUCGGCUCCAAUGGCAAAGCUUCGAAUCGGACCGUGGUGUUCAGGUGUCUCUGUUCUUCUUUAUUUUGAUGAUUUGGGUAUUUACACUUUCCAAUCUUUGUUCGGUAAGAGGAUUCCAGCAAGGUAGAAAUAAUGUUUCCUUUUCGGGACCGAGAUUUGCUUGAGCGAGAGGAGCUCGAUUUUGGGGUAUUUAAUCUUGUUCAUGUGAACUUUGACAGAUUGAGGACAUCAGCCGUUGCCCUUUCGGAGAGGUAAGGUAAUUGCUUUUCUGAGGUAUAUGUUCUUCUUUUUUGUUGCUUUCUGUUGGAAUAAUUUGUCCUAGAUUCUACCAAACACACGAAGUGGGUUUUUUUCUUUAAAAAAAAAAGUUUUUUCGCCUCAAAGAUCAUCGCUUUUCGUAUCUUUGUACUAGUGAUAAAGUGCAUCAGGUCCUAAACAGGUGGCGUGUUUAAAGUCAGUGUGUUUCCAUUGCCAACCUUAAUGCAAAAACUGAGAUAGGUCAAGAGGAUGAAAAAAGGCACAAACUUGUCAAACUAAUUCUGCAAUAAUUUGAUAUUACUGUGCCAUCUGGUCAACGUGAUAAAGGAGAAGAGUGUGUCGUAAUAAAACGAUAUGUACGGUUUAUAUGCUCAGUCCCUUCUGAUAAUGCGGGGUAGCGUUCUCAAAGAAGCUUAAGUUGGUGAAUGGAAAGAGUCAUAGUUCCAGUUCUUUUAAAAUCGUAGAUUGCUAUAUUUCUUUAUUUUAUUAUUAGGUUGGAAAUUAGAAUGUGUUAUGUAUAGGUUUAUGCCUGUUUAAUCAAUUGAAUUUCAAGUGGUCGUGCAUUUAAGAAUUGAGGUCCUUCCUUGGGCCAUGACAAUGUUUGGAUGCUUAUAAGUUAUAGGUAUGUUGGUACUUCUCUGACUCUUAGGAACAGUUCUGAAUCAAUGGAAGGAUUGACAUUUUUGAUGGGCUGAAUUCGGACCCUUUGAAGCUUCAGGUUAGCAUGCUUGGUAUCUGUUGCUCUGAUCUAUGCAACAAGGAAGUUUGAAACUAUUAACGAACUUGCCAAAUUGGGCAUGGUUUCUAUGGUCAUUGAGAGUGCACAGUUUUCUUUUCUUUUUUUCUUUAUUUUUGAAUGUACUGUGUUCUUAUAUUGUUUGAUAGAGUUUUACUGGAUGCAUUUCGUGGUUGCCUAUGACUCUGUGAGUACAUUUCUUGGUUGCCUACAGUUCUGUUGAGCAAUAUCUAUAUGGCAACAGACUAGAAAUUGUUGUUCUUAAAAUAUGGUGUAGCAUUAAAUAGUUUGAACAAAAACUUUUGAAUUCCUCCUAUGACAUUGUCUAAUGCCAUUUGAGGUACCAUCUGCUCCGUUUGUUGUCAAAACAUGAGGUUGUAGAACACAAUCCUGUACAACGACCAAAGUGCACCGACCAAAAGAUGAGAUUCUUGUCUAGAGAUGAUUGAACAUGAGGUGAAGUCUAUGCAGCCCUUUGAACAGACAUCUGGCUUUCCUUCAUUGAUAUAUUGCAAUCUUAUGUGACUGAAAGUGCAAAUGCAAUUCACAGUUCACAAAUCCAUUUAUCCAUGCAAAUAUCACUUUCAUGGUUGUUCAGGUGAUUUUUGAUCAUUUUAAUCAUUCUCAUUCUCUACUUGUUCCAUGUAUGACUGUCAUACAAGAGAAGAAAUGGGAUUGUCAUGGGAGCGAUGUGGCUGUAUCUUGAACUUCUCUUAUAACUUUUUUCUCUAUUUUCCAUUCCAUUAGUUUGUCCACUUCAACCUGCUGCGCGUUGUCAUCAUGGUAUUGUGCAUAUUGCUCAGCAUUGAAUUAAAUGAUGCGUCUCUUUUUUAUUUUAUCAAACCAUACGAGCUAUACGUCUAUACGUUAGCAAAAUACUUGGACCUCCUUUCCAUUUUUUUGGGAUGGUCUUGUUUCCUGUUUAUUAUUGCUUAUUCAGUUUUCAUGGACCAAACUCCUUGCUGUAGGUAGGUGGUUAUCUUUACAGAUGUGUCUCAUUAAUGACUUCAAAGCAGCUGACUUCAUUUUGUUGGUUUGAUGUUUAUCUCAUAUAUUACAGCUUAACAUUCUUUGUUGAAUGUGGCCAUACCUCCCUCUACGGUAUCUUGACACCAUGACUUCCCAUUGUAGUUGUCAUCUUCCAGUCCUGAGUAGAUUAGUUUUGCUAAGAGAAAAUAGCAUCUCAUUGUUAAUUCUGCCAUUUGCUUUUCAUGCUUACUUUUAUGCCUUGAUAGUUGUGGGCUAAAUCCAACCUUACCUAGUUUAUUCUUAUAAACGCACCUACAUUAUUAAUGUUGGCUAUUUUCCCUAUUAGCUCUUCAUUCUUCUAUUGCAUAUUGGCAUCAUCAUAGUCAUAAGCAAGGUCUGCGGAACCGUCUCGAACUGCCCGGUUCGGAGCGUUUCAGGCCAUACCGGCAGCGGACCGGGACGGUUCUUCCAUUGAGACCGAGAUGCCUCGCCGGAGAAAAAGAAAGAGAAGAGGAAAAGAGAGAGAGAGAGGGGAAGGGAGGAAGAGGGAGAGCAAGGAAGAGAGGUCAACCCUCUCUUUUCCUCUCUCGUUCUCCCUCUCCCCCACUGUAGAUGAUGUGUCAGUACGGCCUGGCAAGGUACGGCGCGGGCCCGUACCGAUUCGUCCCGCCAGGCAACCGGUACAGUGUCCGGUACUGGUUCUGCCAACGUUGCUCAUAAGUCUACUUGUCUUGUUCACUUACUCUCCUUCAUUACAUGUGUUCAAUUUGGAUGCAAAGCUGAGACCACGAACAUACUGUUGUAGCUUUUGCUUAAGCCUAUGUCCCUUUCUCAUGCAUCUUUAAAAGAAAUAAUCAGUUUGUGUUCCAGGCUUGCCAUUAAUCACUUCAUCGGGAGAUUCAUUACUACCAUAAGGUAGCUAAAUUUAAUAAAUGGUAAAUGGCCAUGACCAAGAUGCCUCUGAAUUUUCAGCAAAUUCACAUUUUUUAGGACCUUGUUCCUUCUCAUUUGAGUAUCUGUUGCAACUUGAGAAGCAUUCAGCAUUCCAUUCAGCAUUGCAAUACUUCACUUGCAAUUCGUCAUGGACCCUUGCAGUAUAAAUUUCACUAUGAAUACACAGUGAUUUAUUAUGCAAAAUACAACAACUAAUCAUCUUAUAUACAGACCAUUUCUCUCACUCAUAUCAAGGACUAUAGAGGAAAAAAUUUCUUCAUACUGAAGGUCUAUGAAUCUUUACAAGGAAGUCUACAAACUGCCAAAUAAACUGGUUAUUAGGAAAUAGCAAACGUAUAAAUAUAAGUGGUUGGUUUUAUUAGUAUUCUUUUACCAGGAAAAAAUCAGAUUGUUGGUCAUCAGAUUAGCCAUUUCAUUACCAAAAUAACAAAGAGCACAAUUGAAUGCAAUGCCAAACAGGGAAACUUCGAGACAGUGUGAAUCGUUAUCUGAUACUUGGUUACCAUAUGGAAGCUUAAAUAAUAUUUUGUUUCUUGCUCAUUUGGGAGAGAGCUAUGAGUCAACGAUGAUAUAUUUUCUUAGUUUUUUUUUCUUUUUAAUGUUCUACAUGAUGCACUUUUUAUGGAAUGAAAAUUGGUUUAAUUGUGAAUGUUACCACGUAGAACCAUCAUUAUUUUAGACAUAAAACCAUUAUUAUUUUUCAUUAAAAAUGCGACAUCGUACAUGCAAUUUAUGGGUUUCACAUGUUUUUAUAAACAUAGGAAUGCACUGAUGUGAUAGAGUAAUUUUCAUUUAUCUAACCUGGCAUCUUUCUGAAUCUUUCCGACAAUACUUGGUUAUUCUGUGCUAAGGUUGAUUACUUAAAUUUAAAAAGCAAUGAGAGGUUAAUGUUCACAUCCAGGCCAAAGUGGGAAUGAUUGCAAAGUUUGGAUGUUUCUGAUUAGCAACCCAUAAAUCGACAUGAUCUCAAAUCUUGAUGCCAUUUGCAUAUAGUUGGAUGACAGUGACUUAUUAGAAACAGAUGCUUUUUUCCACUCUGAUGAUUUUUCUGGACACUAGCUUUUAUUUAAAAAUUAAUUUGAUAGCCAGUUUGUUUGUGGUUCCUUCUUUCUGAUAACCAUCUUGUAAUUCUAUCCUGCCUACUUAUGAUGAUAUCCUUCAUUAAAAUAAAGAUCCAUAUAAAGUUAUAGUUUGACCAAGAGAGUUGAUUCUGUAGGAGCUUCUAUCCACAAUCCUUUGUUAUGUAGUGAGCUUAUUGUAGCUACAACAUUGUGAGCAAACUUUAUGUUUCCAAACAGGGUAAUUAGUCUUUAUGUAGUGUUUUAUGUGAACCUGCUGAAGUUGUAUGAAAGUACAGUCCAUAGUAUUUCAAAUAGCAUGCUAGAAUUAUUGAUCACAUAUAUAUAUAUAUUCUUUAAAGCCAUUUAUUGUUUCACUUUGUUAUCAUGUACUGCUUAUGAGUUCUAUAUUUACAACUAUUGAAGAAUCUUAUACACUCAAGCACACACCUAUGACCACAUUUUAAGGCCUUUGAGAGCAUCAUCAAUUUACUAAUUCUAGAGCUUUCAUGUUGAUACUUGGUCUACUACACCUUCGAUAUUCAUUGCAGGUUGGUUAUUCAUGAAGUCAAGAGUGACAAAUCACUAAUACAUUAGCACUGAACAACAGAGAAUCUUUCUGUCAAUUUUAUAUAGAGGAUGAAGUAUGCCAAUAAAUAUGUUUCAAUAUUUUGUGUUACAAUAGUUCACUAAUAUAAACAAUUGGGGUUUUUCGUUUCAUGUGUACUCAUAUUUCCUUUCUUCCCUCCUCGAAACACUUUGAUUUGCAUCCAAAUUUAAUUUUUUAUCCAUGUCGCAAUAUAGGACUCCAUUAAACAAAUUUAAGCUACAAGCAUUACAUGAUACAUUUAUUAAAUGCCAUAAUAUACAAACAGUACUUGGCUUCUUGUGUGAUUAAACCUACUUUUGAAUUAAUGUACUGUGACUUCUUGUCUACAAGGUAGGCAUGAUUUUCCUUUGGGCACUUCUUUCCAAAAGGAUGAAAGAAGUUAAGUCAAAUUCAAAUUAGUAUCCUCUAUGUUCUUCUCUUUGUAAUAUUUAGUUGCUCAGAUCUUCCAUUAAUCUGAUCACUAUUGGCUUUCCACACAUUAGCCAUUGCAUAAUUUUGUGAACACCUGCUUUCUCUCUCACUCCAUUGCAUUCUCUCCUUCCAAUUCAUAAGAUUCUCUUUUUUCUUUUUCUUCUUUUGUCUUUAUCAAGUGUUCCAAUUAAAUUCCUACAAAGCUACUGUGUUACAUGUAAGUCUCUCACAUUUUGACUAUUAUGUACAUACGCUUAAUAAAUCCAUUCAUUUGCAGAAAACCCUUGCCACUAAUGCUUCAUCAAAAGAACAAUUGAUAUUAUGUUGAUAUUCCUCUAAAAUAGUCAUGCAUAUUUAGUCAAGUUUUUAAAAGAUUGUUUCAAAAAAGAAAAAACACCAAGCAGCUCUGAUGAUCCAAGAUGAAAUUCAAUCAUUCCCUUUUAGAAAGCCAUCGAAGAGUAUAAUGGUUAUUGUCAUUCUUGGCAGUCAAAGUGAGUUAAAAAAAUUUGACCGCAGUCAAUGGAAAGGGUUUCUUUUGGAAAAACUACCAUUUGUGUGUUUCUAAGUAUAAUAAAUUGGGUUUUGUCUAUAGAAUUGAAGUUGUGCAGGGUUAUGUGCAAAGUUCUUUUUCAAUUGCUUCAGAUUUUGAUUUCAUUUGAAAUUGUUGUGAUGGUCAGAAUUGUCAGGGGGAUGGUAACUGCUUCAAUCUUUCCCCUAAGUAUGCCUAUAAAUGUGGGGGGAUGUUGGGAUGCUCCUGCUGCCUCAAUACACAGAUGAGGUCAGCAUCAAACGUGGACUUGUAUCAAUGUAGUGUAGAUAUGAUUUAUGUUCUUCGAAAUGGGGUGCUAAACCCUGUAAGGACCACAUACACAAUUUUCAGCCCUAAAAUCUCAAGCUAAUGAAAGAGCUCAUGCACCAUUAUGGAUUGCAAUGAAUUCUAGAGAUCUUCAAACCAAUAAGUGCACACAACCUUUAGAUCCUGAAAAGUACGAACUGCUGUUGAAGGUUAUAUAUCCUCCAAAAUAUUAACUCAUGGAAAAUGAUUUCCCUAGUGGAAAUUUUAGGAAGGAGAGUAAUAUAGCCAACACCAACCAUCAUUGAUAUGUGAUCACUAAACUGCCAGUGCUAGGACAUUGAUCAAAUGUUCUUGCUUUGAGCAAAGUGAAAGCCAACCACAUGGUAUGUCUCUCUCAUUGGUUUCUAAAAUUUACCUGGAUGCUCCUGCUGUAAUUCUACAUUGUUCCAACUCUCUGUUGUUGUUUGAUCAAAACCCUUUGGGUUGGUUUUUUAAAUAUUUUUCUAGGUGGGAUCUCCUUCAAGACCUAGAACACCCAAAGCAUGAAUUUUAGUUCAGUCAAUAAUGAAAUGAAGUACAGAUACAUGUAUUGAGAAAAAAAAAUUGGAGUACCAAUGGAUGCAUUCAUAUGCUGUUUGUAGACAUAAUCAUUAUUUUGGGCAUACCUUGUCCUCCAUUUUAUGUUGAUAUGUGGAUAUGGACAAUUAUGUGUACUUGCGUGUUCUUUUGGGCAUAUUCAUGUGUUUACCAAAGAUUUUUUUUUUUAUAAACAUUUUGAUGCAAUUCGAUGCCAAAACAUUCAAAAGCAUCUGUGUCAACUAGAAGAGCUAGGCAAAGUAAGAGCAGCAUGAUACAUUUAAAGCAGAGAUCUGUGUAGGAGAAUCAAGUAGAGGAGCAUACCCGAACAUCUGCUGAUGGCUGUUUGACUUUGGCAUGUCUGUUGACCAAUGAUUUGCCAUGCUUCACUCCAGCAGAUCUAUUGGUGGAUGAGAUGUUCCUCAUAUCAUCCACCAUUCAAACUGACUUCGAAAGAAGACCUUCAGUACAGGGCUUUAUGUGCACCAACAUAUAUCAAAGUAUAGAGACAGUCUAUUUUGAUCGAGCCACCAGAGGUAUUUUAGUAAGUGAGCAUAAUGAAUAGAAGAAUUAUAAGUUAUUAUCUGUCAAUAAACAACGGACAAAGAUCGUUGCUCUUGAGGAAUGUUUCGAGAAUAUUAGAUGUUUAAAAAAGGAAUCUUGUCUAUGGUGUGAAAUAAAUUUAAAUAAUAUCAAUGUCCUCUCACCAAACACAAUUGUAGUGCACCAAAAUCUCUGAAGUAGAAUUUGCAAUAUUCUUGAUUAGAAAUUUUUGAUUUUCUUGUUCUUCUUGAAAUUGUCUUGUGACAAUGAUAUCCAAUCUGGAUCUUCCCCUAAGAAUAGAAUCAUGUGGAGGAAGAAUUCUCAAAUAGAGCAGCAUGCAUUUUGUCAAGCAAACAAUACUACCGAGAGAAGGCCAGAUGGAUUCAGAUGCAGAAUUUAUGGAGCUUUAAAGAAGCUCAAAAAAGACUACAUACAUGAUUCCCUCUUGGAUUCAUCUGGCUGGUUUUUUAUGCCACCUUCCAUGCAAGACAUGUUGCCCGAAUGAGUAUUCCAUUCCGAAUCCCAGAUAGAUCUUGCAGUCACGGAGUACCUUUCUCAAUGGAAUUCUCAUUUGGGCAAGAAGCCUUUCCAUGGAAGGGAAUGUAAGAAGCUCCUCCUCAGCUCCAGCUGCUGACACCCAAGGAAGUUUUGCUCCCCCUGUUCUUAUAGAGCCCCCAGCUCUUGAGUUCUGCUGACAUCUCCAAGACCUUGCUGUGUGUUGGUUUGAUUGUUUGGUGCAACCUCCAUGCAAGGGAAAUGAAGGCAGGAGGCCAUGCCAAUUACCGAACGCACUUUUUUUUUUUGUUUGAAAUAUUUAUUUGAUGUACUUGAAAGAUUAACAUUACGGAGGCCUCAUUAUGUUAUUUAUGUAUAUAAUGGACUCGGUGACAUUUCAUUUUAGUUGCCGUUAUUUAAUAUUUUUGCUGUUCAUCGAAAUAAAAUGAUAUUCUUGCAUACUUAAAUCCCA